GAGCAAUGAUGAAAAGGUUUUUUAGUACUGACCUUUACAGCUAUGAAGGUUUCUACACUUGAUCUGAGCUCA